rnacentral:rRNA from 1 species
GAUGAACGCUGGCGGCGUGCUUAACACAUGCAAGUCGAACGAAGCACCUUGAUUUGAUUCUUCGGAUGAAGAUCUUGGUGACUGAGUGGCGGACGGGUGAGUAACGCGUGGGUAACCUGCCUCAUACAGGGGGAUAACAGUUAGAAAUGACUGCUAAUACCGCAUAAGACAACAGCACCGCAUGGUGCAGGGGUAAAAACUCCGGUGGUAUGAGAUGGACCCGCGUCUGAUUAGGUAGUUGGUGGGGUAACGGCCUACCAAGCCGACGAUCAGUAGCCGUCCUGAGAGGGUGACCGGCCACAUUGGGACUGAGACACGGCCCAAACUCCUACGGGAGGCAGCAGUGGGGAAUAUUGCACAAUGGGGGAAACCCUGAUGCAGCGACGCCGCGUGAGCGAUGAAGUAUUUCGGUAUGUAAAGCUCUAUCAGCAGGGAAGAAAAUGACGGUACCUGACUAAGAAGCACCGGCUAAAUACGUG